rnacentral:rRNA from 1 species
GACGAACGCUGGCGGCGUGCCUAAUACAUGCAAGUCGAACGCAGUGGGGACGGGUGAGUAAAACGUGGGUAACCUCCGAUCAGAGGGGGUAACACUUGGAAACAGGUGCUAAACUGUUACUGAUGGAUGGACCCGCGGUUCGUUAGCUAGUUGGUGAGGUAACGGCUCAACAAGGCCACGAUGCAUAGCCGACCUGAGUGGGUGCUCGGCCACACUGGAACUGAGACACGGCCCAGACUCCUACGGGAGGCAGCAGUAGGGAAUCUUCGGCAAUGGACGAAAGUCUGACCGAGCAACGCCGCGUGAGUGAAGAAGGUUUUCGGAUCGUAAAACUCUGUUGUUAGAGAAGCGGUAUCUAACCAGAAAGCCACGGCUAACUACGUGCCAGCCGCCGCGGUAAUUC